rnacentral:rRNA from 1 species
GACGAACGCUGGCGGCAUGCCUAAUACAUGCAAGUCGAGCGGACUUGAUGAGAAGCUUGCUUCUCAGAUAGUUAGCGGCGGACGGGUGAGUAACACGUAGGCAACCUGCCCUCAAGCUUGGGACAACUACCGGAAACGGUAGCUAAUACCGAAUACUUGUUUUCUUCGCCUGAAGGGAACUGGAAAGACGGAGCAAUCUGUCACUUGGGGAUGGGCCUGCGGCGCAUUAGCUAGUUGGUGAGGUAACGGCUCACAAAGGCGACGAUGCGUAGCCGACCUGAGAGGGUGAUCGGCCACACUGGGACUGAGACACGGCCCAGACUCCUACGGGAGGCAGCAGUAGGGAAUCUUCCGCAAUGGGCGAAAGCCUGACGGAGCAAUGCCGCGUGAGUGAUGAAGGUUUUCGGAUCGUAAAGCUCUGUUGCCAGGGAAGAACGCUUGGGAGAGUAACUGCUCUCAAGGUGACGGUACCUGAGAAGAAAGCCCCGGCUAACUACGUGCCAGCCGCCGCCGUAA